AGGGAUCAUUACUGAGUUACCGCUCUAUAACCCUUUGUGAACAUACCUACAACUGUUGCUUCGGCGGGUAGGCCGUCCCCUGAAAAGGACGCCUCCCGGCCCGGACCGGACCCCCCCGUGGGGCCGGACUCGGCGCCCGCCGGAGGAUAACCAAACGCUAUUUUAACGACGUUUCUUCUGAGUGGCAUAAGCAAAAUAAUCAAAACUUUUAACAACGGAUCUCUUGGUUCUGGCAUCGAUGAAGAACGCAGCGAAAUGCGAUAAGUAAUGUGAAUUGCAGAAUUCAGUGAAUCAUCGAAUCUUUGAACGCACAUUGCGCCCGCCAGCAUUCUGGCGGGCAUGCCUGUUCGAGCGUCAUUUCAACCCUCAAGCUCUGCUUGGUGUUGGGGCUCUACGGUCGACGUAGGCCCUCAAAGGUAGUGGCGGACCCUCCCGGAGCCUCCUUUGCGUAGUAACAUUUCGUCUCGCACUGGGAUCCGGAGGGACUCUUGCCGUAAAACCCCCCAAUUUUUCAAGGUUGACCUCGGAUCAGGUAGGAAUACCCGCUGAACUUAA
rnacentral:rRNA from 1 species